AUUGAACGCUGGCGGCAGGCCUAACACAUGCAAGUCGAACGAGGGGCGGACGGGUGAGUAAUGUCUGGGAAUCUGCCCGAGGUAGGGGGAUAACUACUGGAAACGGUAGCUAAUACCGCAUACCAUCGGAUGUCCCCAGAUGGGAUUAGCUAGUAGGUGGGGUAAAGGCGCACCUAGGCGACGAUCCCUAGCUGGUCUGAGAGGAUGACCAGCCACACUGGAACUGCUCCACUGUCCAGACUCCUACGGGAGGCAGCUGUGGGGAAUAUUGAACAAUGUGCGCAAUACUGAGGCAGCCAUGCCGGGUGUAUGAAGAAUGCCUUCGGGUUUUAAGGUACUUGCAGCGGGGAGGCGUUACCCGCAGAAGAAGCACCGGCUAACUCCGUGCCAGCAGCCGCGGUAAUG
rnacentral:rRNA from 1 species